rnacentral:rRNA from 1 species
GUCUAUGGCCAUGCCACCCUGAACAUGCCCAAUCUCGUCUGAUCUCGGAAGCUAAGCAGGGUCAGAUCUGCUUAGUACUUGGAUGGGAGACCACCUAGGAAGACCAGAUGCUGUAGGUG